GAGCGGCGCGCUGUGCAGGCGCGUCGCUGCCCGCCGGGGCGCGG
rnacentral:misc_RNA from 1 species